AUUGAACGCUGGCGGCAGGCCUAACACAUGCAAGUCGAACGGUAACAGGAAGCAGCUUGCUGCUUUGCUGACGAGUGGCGGACGGGUGAGUAAUGUCUGGGAAACUGCCUGAUGGAGGGGGAUAACUACUGGAAACGGUAGCUAAUACCGCAUAACGUCGCAAGACCAAAGAGGGGGACCUUCGGGCCUCUUGCCAUCGGAUGUGCCCAGAUGGGAUUAGCUAGUAGGUGGGGUAACGGCUCACCUAGGCGACGAUCCCUAGCUGGUCUGAGAGGAUGACCAGCCACACUGGAACUGAGACACGGUCCAGACUCCUACGGGAGGCAGCAGUGGGGAAUAUUGCACAAUGGGCGCAAGCCUGAUGCAGCCAUGCCGCGUGUAUGAAGAAGGCCUUCGGGUUGUAAAGUACUUUCAGCGGGAAGGAAGGGAGUAAAGUUAAUACCUUUGCUCAUUGACGUUACCCGCAGAAGAAGCACCGGCUAACUCCGUG
rnacentral:rRNA from 1 species